CAAGAGGGGGGGAUUUCCACCCCCACCACUGGCACCCAAAGCCAAAAUUCUGGGGUUCAAACUACCUCUUG
rnacentral:tRNA from 1 species